rnacentral:rRNA from 10 species
UAAUAUGGCCUUACCACCAUGGACGCGCCCGAUCUCGUCUGAAGCAUGGUCGGGCCUGGUUGGUACUUGGCUGGGAGACCGCCUGGGAAUACCAGGUGGUGUUGG